rnacentral:tRNA from 1 species
CAGGGGGUAUUUUAUGUUAAAAUAUUAGUUUUGGGUAUUAAUGAGAUGGAUAUGUUCCUUUCCUCUGA